CGGGAGAGGCCGACGGUAUUCCUAGGGGAGGGGUGAAAUCCUGUAAUCCUAGGAGGACCACCAGUGGCGAAGGCGGUCGGCCAGAACGCGCUCGACGGUGAGGGACGAAAGCUGGGGGAGCGAACCGGAUUAGAUACCCGGGUAGUCCCAGCUGUAAACUAUGCAGGCUAGGUGUUGGGGCGGCCACGAGCCGCUUCGGUGCCGCAGGGAAACCGUUAAGCUUGCCGUCUGGGGAGUACGAUCGCAAGGUUGAAACUUAAAGGAAUUGGCGGGGGAGCACCGCAACCGGAGGAGCGUGCGGUUCAAUUGGAUUCAACGCCGGGAAACUCACCGGGGGCGACGGACAAAUGUGGGCCAUGCUGACGACUUUGCCUGAAUGUCCGAGAGGUGGUGCAUGGCCGUCAUCAGUUCGUACCGUAAGGCGUUCUGUUAAGUCAGAUAACGAACGAGACCCUCGCUCCUAGUUGCUACCUAUUCCGCUAGGAAUAGAGCACACUAGGGGGACCGCUGGCGCUAAGUCAGAGGAAGGUGAGGUCUACGGUAGGUCAGUAUGCCCCGAAUCCCCCGGGCUACACGCGCGCUACAAAGGUCGGGACAAUGGGUAUUCGACCUCGAGAGAGGAAGGUAAUCCCGAAACCCGAUCGUAGUUCGGAUUGAGGGCUGUAACUCGCCCUCAUGAA
rnacentral:rRNA from 1 species